rnacentral:rRNA from 1 species
GACGAACGCUGGCGGCGUGCCUAAUACAUGCAAGUGGGACGCAAGGACACACACUGUGCUUGCACACCGUGUUUUCUUGAGUCGCGAACGGGUGAGUAACGCGUAGGUAACCUGCCUAUUAGCGGGGGAUAACUAUUGGAAACGAUAGCUAAUACCGCAUAAUAUUAAUUAUUGCAUGAUAAUUGAUUGAAAGAUGCAAGCGCAUCACUAGUAGAUGGACCUGCGUUGUAUUAGCUAGUUGGUAAGGUAAGAGCUUACCAAGGCGACGAUACAUAGCCGACCUGAGAGGGUGAUCGGCCACACUGGGACUGAGACACGGCCCAGACUCCUACGGGAGGCAGCAGUAGGGAAUCUUCGGCAAGAGACGAAAGUCUGACCGAGCAACGCCGCGUGAGUGAAGAAGGUUGUCGGAUCGUAAAGCUCUGUUGUAAGUCAAGAACGUGUGUGAGAGUGGAAAGUUCACACAGUGACGGUAGCUUACCAGAAAGGGACGGCUAACUACGUG